UGAAACAUACACGGGGAAUCUCU
rnacentral:miRNA from 1 species